rnacentral:rRNA from 1 species
GAAAAAGUUACAAAGGGCAUAUGGUGGAUGCCUUGGCACUAAUAGGCGAUGAAGGACGUGGCUACCUGCGAAAAGCCUCGGUAAGACGGUAACAGUCUUUGACCCGGGGAUCUCCGAAUUGGGCAACCAGGCUGAAGUAAUGUUCAGUCAUAACUUACUGAAUACAUAGGUAAGUUAAGCAAACGAAGGGAACUGAAACAUCUAAGUACCUUCUGGAAAAGAAAACAAAAGUGAUUUCCUUAGUAGCGGCGAGCGAAACGGAAAGAGCCUAAACCAAGCAAUAUGUCAAGAGUGCAAUCGUUGUAUUGCUGGUGUUGUGGGACUAUCUGGUAGAUUUGCAAUAUACCAAAGAGUAAAAAACCUUGGAAUUAGUUGAAUGGUCUGGAAAGGUCAACCAUAGACGGUGAAAGUCCGGUAAACAAAAAUUUUAAGGCUCUUGAUAGUAUCCCGAGUACCGCGGAGCACGUGGAAUUCUGCGGGAAUCUGCCAGAACCAUCUGGUAAGGCUAAAUACUUAUUAGUGACCGAUAGCGCACAAGUACCGUGAGGGAAAGGUGAAAAGUACUCCUAACAGGAGGGUGAAAUAGAACCUGAAACCAUAUGCUUACAAACGGUAGUAGUCUUUUGAGCGGCUUGCCGCUCAGUAAGAUGACUGCGUGCCUUUUGCUUAAUGAGCCAACGAGUUACUCGUAUGUUGCAGCAUAAGCUUUUAAGAAGCGAAUGCAUAGCGAAAGCAAGUCCGAAAUGGGCGAAUUAGUAACAUGCGGUAGACGCGAAACCGUGUGAUCUAUUCUUGACCAGGAUGAAAUAUCGGUAAAACGAUAUGGAGGUCCGAACCAGUGUGGGUUGAAAACCGCUUGGAUGAGUUGAGAAUAGGAGCGAAAGACCAAUCAAACUCGGAAAUAGCUCGUACUCCCCGAAAUAGCUUUAGGGCUAGCCUCGAAAUAGUAUGUUGUAGGUAGAGCACUAAUUGGGCUAGGGCCGCCACAGCGGUACCAAACCCAAAUAAACUCCGAAUGACAAUCAUAUAUUUUUCGGGAGUCAGGCAGUGAGGGAUAAGCUUCAUUGCCGAGAGGGAAAUAACCCAGACCACCAAUUAAGGUCCCCAAGUCUAUGUUAACAGACUAAGGAUGUUAAGUUGCUUAGACAACUAGGAUGUUGGCUUAGAAGCAGCCACUCAUUAAAAGAGUGCGUAAUAGCUCACUAGUCGAGUGUGGUAGGGGAGCAUUCUAUUGACGACUGCAGUGAAUGCAGAUCUUCGGAUGAAGGUGUCAGGUGACUGAUGCUGGAGUUAAUAGAAAAGAAAAUGUUGGCAUAAGUAACGAUAAUCCGGAUGAAAAAUCCGGACACCGAAAAUCCAAGGUUUCCUGAGCAAUGUUAAUCAACUCAGGGUUAGUCGGUCCCUAAGCUGAGGCCAAACGGCGUAAGUAAUGGGAAACAGGUUGAAUAUUCCUGUACCUUCGACAUUUAAACCGGAAUGACGCAAAAGUGAAAGGAGAGCCACCUGAUGGAUGGUGGUCUAAGGGCGUAGUCGCAAGAUGAAACCCGAACGGGAUGGCGCAAGCCUAUAAACUCUCCCUAAUCAUGUUGCCAAGAAAAGCUCCGGCGUAUACUAAGAAGACCGUACCGUAAACCGACACAGGUAGAUGAGGAGAGUAUCCUAAGGUGCUCGAGUGAGCCGUAGUUAAGGAACUCGGCAAAUUAACCCCGUAACUUAGGGAAAAGGGGUGCCCCGACUAUGUCGGGGUCGCAGAGAAAUGGGCCAAGCGACUGUUUAACAAAAACACAUGUCUAUGCAAAGCCUUUAAGGCGAAGUAUAUGGACUGACACCUGCCCGGUGCUGGAAGGUUAAGAGGAGAGGUUAGUCUUCGGGCGAAGCUUUGAAUCGAAGCCCCAGUAAACGGCGGCCGUAACUAUAACGGUCCUAAGGUAGCGAAAUUCCUUGUCGGGUAAGUUCCGACCUGCACGAAUGGUGUAACGAUUUGGCCACUGUCUCGACUACGGGCUCGGUGAACUUGUGGUACCGGUGAAGACGCCGGUUACCUGCAUAUGGACGAAAAGACCCCGUGCACCUUUACUGCACCUUAGCAUUGGGUUUGGAUACAACAUGUGUAGAAUAGGUGGGAGACUUUGAAGCGGUGGCGCUAGCCAUCGUGGAGUCGCAAUGUGAAAUACCACCCUUGUUUUGUUCGAAUUCUAACCUCGGCUCUUGAAUCAGGGCCAGGAACAGUGCUAGGCGGGUAGUUUGACUGGGGCGGUCGCCUCCUAAAAAGUAACGGAGGCUUUCAAAGGUACCCUCAGCAUGGUUGGUAAUCAUGCGUAGAGCGCAAAGGCAUAAGGGUGCUUAACUGUGAGACUUACAAGUCGAGCAGGUGCGAAAGCAGGACUUAGUGAUCCGACGGUAGAGUGUGGAAUUGCCGUCGCUUAAAGGAUAAAAGGUACGCCGGGGAUAACAGGCUGAUGACUUCCAAGAGUUCACAUCGACGAAGUCGUUUGGCACCUCGAUGUCGGCUCAUCACAUCCUGGGGCUGGAGAAGGUCCCAAGGGUUUGGCUGUUCGCCAAUUAAAGUGGUACGUGAGCUGGGUUCAGAACGUCGUGAGACAGUUCGGUCUCUAUCCUAUGCAGGCGCAGGAAAUUUGAGGAGGCUCGCUCUUAGUACGAGAGGACCGGAGUGAACGAACCUAUGGUGCGCCAGUUGUCAUGCCAAUGGCAUCGCUGGGUAGCUAUGUUCGGUUGAGAUAAGCGCUGAAAGCAUCUAAGCGCGAAACUCGCUUCAAGAUGAAAUUUCCCUCCGUAGCAAUACGGAAUAAGACUCCAGAAAGAUGAUCUGGUUGAUAGGCUGUAGGUAUAAGUAUAGUAAUGUAUUCAGCCGAGCAGUACUAAUAAGUCGAAUGACUUUUCCUA